rnacentral:lncRNA from 1 species
AUACUGAUCCCCACCUUCUGGGUGCUGGGAGGCCUCAGGAUGGCUGCUCUCCCCUCCGCCCCCUUCCCCAAUCCUAGAACCUCCAGCAGUGCAGCAUCUAGAGAUCAGAGGAGGAAGCUCAAGAUCUGGGCAGGAUGGGACCCCGCGGGCCUGGGAGAUGAUUGUCCGGAGCAGCCUGAGGAUCACCCGGCUGGCCCGUCGGGGAGGGAAAGAGGCCCUAGACAGGCUGCUCCUUCAGCCCAGCUGCCAGCAUGAAGAAGACAUGCAGAGCAGAGACAUGACCACUGGCCUGCGAAUAAGAGGACCUCUGGGCCGUUGUUGAAGAGUUGUGGCAAUAACAGACACCUUGUCCCAUUUCUCGUCUUAAAGGAAUGCUUUCAAUGCUUCACCUUUAAGUAUGAUAUUUGGUGUCAGCUUUUUGUAGAUGUCCUUUGUCAGAUUUUUUUUUUCUUGAGGAAGACUGGUCCUGAGCUAACAUCCGUGCCCAUCUUCCUCUACUUUAUAUGUGGGACGCCUACCACAGCAUGGCUUGCCAAGUGGUGCCAUGUCUGCACCCGGGAUCCGAACCAGCAAACCCCAGGCCGCUGAAGCAGAACGUGCUCAAUUAAUCGCUGCACCACCGGGCCGCCCCAAGAACUUCGAUUUUUAGAUCAGUCUGCUCCCCAUCAGGGCGCCCUGUGUGGGCCAAGGACCAGACCUGGAGAAUCCUCAGUCUAAGCUCCU